rnacentral:rRNA from 1 species
UGAGCUCAAAUUUGAAAUCUGGCGUCUCCGGCGUCCGAGUUGUAAUCUGGAGAAGCGUUUUCCGUGCCGGACCGUGUACAAGUCCAUUGGAACAUGGCGUCAUAGAGGGUGAGAAUCCCGUCUUUGACACGGACUCCCGGUGCUCUGCGAUGCGCUCUCGAAGAGUCGAGUUGUUUGGGAAUGCAGCUCAAAAUGGGUGGUAAAUUCCAUCUAAAGCUAAAUAUUGGCGAGAGACCGAUAGCGAA